rnacentral:rRNA from 1 species
GACGAACGCUGGCGGCGUGCCUAAUACAUGCAAGUAGAACGCUGAAGGAGGAGCUUGCUUCUCCGGAUGAGUUGCGAACGGGUGAGCAACGCGUAGGUAACCUGCCUGGUAGCGGGGGAUAACUAUUGGAAACGAUAGCUAAUACCGCAUAAGAGUAGAUGUUGCAUGACAUUUGCUUAAAAGGUGCAAUUGCAUCACCACCAGAUGGACCUGCGUUGUAUUAGCUAGUUGGUGGGGUAACGGCUCACCAAGGCGACGAUACAUAGCCGACCUGAGAGGGUGAUCGGCCACACUGGGACUGAGACACGGCCCAGACUCCUACGGGAGGCAGCAGUAGGGAAUCUUCGGCAAUGGACGGAAGUCUGACCGAGCAACGCCGCGUGAGUGAAGGAGGUUUUCGGAUCGUAAAGCUCUGUUGUAAGAGAAGAACGAGUGUGAGAGUGGAAAGUUCACACUGUGACGGUAUCUUACCAGAAAGGGACGGCUAACUACGUGC